rnacentral:rRNA from 1 species
GAGUUUGAUCAUGGCUCAGAAUCAACGCUGGCGGCGUGCCUCAGACACGCAAGUCGAACAAUUAAAGCUCUCUUCGGAGAGUGUAUAGAGUGGCGCACGGGUGAGUAACACGUAAGUAAUCUACCCUCGAGUGGGGAAUAACGUCCGGAAACGGACGCUAAUACCGCAUAAUGCAGCGGCACCGCAAGGUGACAGUUGUUAAAGGAGAAAUUCGCUUGAGGAGGAGCUUGCGGCAGAUUAGCUUGUUGGUAAGGUAACGGCUUACCAAGGCUACGAUCUGUAACCGGUCUUAGAGGACGGUCGGUCACACUGACACUGAAUAACGGGUCAGACUCCUACGGGAGGCAGCAGUCGGGAAUUUUGGGCAAUGGGCGAAAGCCUGACCCAGCAACGCCGCGUGAAGGAUGAAGUAUUUCGGUAUGUAAACUUCGAAAGAAUAGGAAGAAUAAAUGACGGUACUAUUUAUAAGGUCCGGCUAACUACGUGCCAGCCGCCGCGGU